CCUUCUAGAUUAUUUCACCCUUAAAAUAUUUGCACCAUUUGUAACACCCCUUACCCGUAUCCAACACCGGAAUAAGGUACGAGGCAUUACCAAAACACAUACACUUGUAAACGUAUUUAACCGAGUUAUAAAAUUUCAUCUAAAUAAAAACUUUUAAAAUAAUUAACAUGUUUCUAUAACUUUUCACAAUAUAUCCUCAAAAUAUUAUAAUCAUAAUAAUUAGGGCCUACGAG
rnacentral:lncRNA from 1 species